rnacentral:rRNA from 1 species
UACGGGGGGGGCAAGCGUUGUUCGGAAUUACUGGGCGUAAAGGGCUCGUAGGCGGCCAACUAAGUCAGACGUGAAAUCCCUCGGCUUAACCGGGGAACUGCGUCUGAUACUGGAUGGCUUGAGAUUGGGAGAGGGAUGCGGAAUUCCGAAGGUGUAGCGGUGAAAUGCGUAGAUAUCUGGAGGAACACCGGUGGCGAAGGCGGCAUCCUGGACCAACACUGACGCUGAGGAGCGAAAGCCAGGGGAGCAAACGGG